UUGUGAGGUGAUCUCAGUUCAUAAUUUCAAUUUUUUGGGUUUCUUGUCGUGGAAAAUAAUAUAUAGAGAUAUUCAGUACUCGUUCUCUGUUACCAUUUAAACCCAAAUUUGAGAUUUGAUAAAUAUAACCUAAACUACAUGCAGUCACCAUUGAGUAUCCUCUGUUCGUUUCUGUAAUACAAUGCAUAAUUUAGGGGUGUGGGCUUGUUUCUGGCUUUCUCCCGGAGACAUUCUUAAGAUGUUAUGUAUUAUUGUAUAUGGGUGGAUAAUAGGUGAGGACAUAUGUGGAGUGGAUGGUUGAUUCCAGUUGCAGUUUCCUACCAAAAUGUAGCUUUUGCUUGCAGAUGCUGACUCAUUCAAGUCGCUCUGUCACUCGGCUCGGCUGCUUACGUAUGUUUUUCCUUGAACUUCACUAACGUUGAUUUUACAGGAAUGAGAUUAUUUAUUAGCAUAGGACAAGGCUAAUCAUGGAAGGAUUGUGCUCAGAUGUUUUGCAUAAUUCGUGCUUGCUUCUACUUUUGAAAGGAUCCUCAUCUCCAACUGGUUACACAUGUCCUUCAUGCAAAUCACAAAUAUGGCCCACAAAGAAGUAGUUUGUUAUUUCUGGUUCUUCCCUUGCCAAUCAGUUGGAGGAAUUAUUUGCGAAGAGCCAUAUUUUUAUGUUGGACAAGAAUUCUCUAUUGCCAUUAGCUUCUGAACUAUUAUCAAAUUUCUCUGAGCAAGGAUUCUCACAGCCACGUUCUGAGAUUCGAUUAACAGUUUUUAGUUUGUCAUCACCUCUUGCUGAAAUGUACAAAGAUCCGAAGAGUCAAAAGGCACAGCAGAACCAUAUUCCUAAAGAUCAAAAUGUAUUAGAGAGUUGGGAAACACUUAAAUCACCAAGAAAGACAAUAAAUAUUGAAACUCCAAAGUCUUGUUCACCUGAGAUUGGGAUUGCAGAGUCUGUUGGAAGUCCAAAGAUUUCUGUAAUUUGUUUCUACCCAAUAAAUUUUGGUCAAUUCUUCAUUUCAUAUAUAAUCAAUGCCCAAAGAACU